CCUACGGGCGGCAGCAGUGAGGAAUAUUGGUCAAUGGACGAGAGUCUGAACCAGCCAAGUAGCGUGAAGGAUGACUGCCCUAUGGGUUGUAAACUUCUUUUAUAUGGGAAUAAAACGUUCCACGUGUGGGAUUUUGUAUGUACCAUAUGAAUAAGGAUCGACUAACUCCGUGCCAGCAGCCGCGGUAAUACGGAGGAUCCGAGCGUUAUCCGGAUUUAUUGGGUUUAAAGGGAGCGUAGGUGGAUUGUUAAGUCAGUUGUGAAAGUUUGCGGCUCAACCGUAAAAUUGCAGUUGAAACUGGCAGUCUUGAGUACAGUAGAGGUGGGCGGAAUUCGUGGUGUAGCGGUGAAAUGCUUAGAUAUCACGAAGAACUCCGAUUGCGAAGGCAGUUCACUGGACUGCAACUGACACUGAGGCUCGAAAGUGUGGGUAUCAAACAGGAUUAGAUACCCUAGUAGUC
rnacentral:rRNA from 1 species